rnacentral:rRNA from 1 species
GAUGAACGCUGGCGGCGUGCCUAAUACAUGCAAGUCGAGCGAACAGACGAGGAGCUUGCUCCUCUGACGUUAGCGGCGGACGGGUGAGUAACACGUGGAUAACCUACCUAUAAGACUGGGAUAACUUCGGGAAACCGGAGCUAAUACCGGAUAAUAUAUUGAACCGCAUGGUUCAAUGGUGAAAGACGGUUUUGCUGUCACUUAUAGAUGGAUCCGCGCCGCAUUAGCUAGUUGGUAAGGUAACGGCUUACCAAGGCAACGAUGCGUAGCCGACCUGAGAGGAUGAUCGGCCACACUGGAACUGAGACACGGUCCAGACUCCUACGGGAGGCAGCAGUAGGGAAUCUUCCGCAAUGGGCGAAAGCCUGACGGAGCAACGCCGCGUGAGUGAUGAAGGUCUUCGGAUCGUAAAACUCUGUUAUUAGGGAAGAACAAAUGUGUAAGUAACUAUGCACGUCUUGACGGUACCUAAUCAGAAAGCCACGGCUAACUACGUG